CGCGUAGGCGGCUGUGCAAGUCGGAGGUGAAAUCCCUCGGCUCAACCGAGGAACUGCCUCCGAUACUGCCUGGCUUGAGUCCCGGAGAGGGUAGCGGAAUUCCCAGUGUAGCGGUGAAAUGCGUAGAUAUUGGGAGGAACACCCGUGGCGAAGGCGGCUACCUGGACGGGUACUGACGCUGAGGCGCGAAAGCUAGGGGAGCAAACA
rnacentral:rRNA from 1 species